CCGGUUUGAAUACAUGUGUUUUCUGACUUUUCGGAUAGCCAGCUCUUGUUUUUUGGAACUUACGACUUAUGGCAAGAGAGAAGAAAACUAUGUGACUUUAAAAGAAAACCAGUGAGAUAAAAUCAUAGAAAAUGUAUGAUGAUUCAGGAUGUGGUCAUUUGUGACAUUAAAACAGGAAUAGUCAUCACCAAUAGACGAAUUUCACUUUCCUAAGAGUUUUCUCCAAUUGUCGGCGUAUCGCUCAUUUUUCCCACUUGUCCUUUGUCCUGUUAUGUGGAUGCCCUAAGACAGUGUUUACCCAUCACUCCAUCUGAUAUCACUUGUUCUGUGCAUAUUUCUCUCUCAAACCUAAACUACAGAGAGCCUGUGGAUAGAGGAUGAAGAGUGACCUUGGACUAAUUUUCUAGGUCAAAGAUCAUAGGUGAUGUGAAGAAAACCAGGAAACUGAUGUUGAAAGAAGAACUGAAUGACCCUUAUGAAUGGACUUAAAUGUGAAAGACUGUUCCAUUGUUUAUCUAAGAUAUAUGAAUUUAUUUAAUAUUUUGAUAUCAUUGAAAAAUUCAGUUACAGUUUUUGUACAUCAAAUGAAUU